UAUGGUGGUUCCCAGGCUAGGGAUGGAAUUGGAGCCGUAGCCACCAGCCUACGCCAGAGCCACAGCAGCACCAGAUCCGAGCCGUGUCUGGGACCUACACCACGGCUCACGGCAAUGCCGGAUCCUUCACCCACGGAGCGAGGCCAGGGAUCGAACCCGCAACCUCAUGAGCUUGAUUUUCUUACUCUUGGCCGCGUGGGUCGGGGCCAGUGGUGAUGACCUCCUCCGUUUACCUCGCAGGCUCCUUAGGUUUCCCUUCGCUCCGUGUCUUAUCUCCCUCUAAUCAGGGUGUGAAGGGGUGGCUUGCUUUUAUGGUAGAAAGGGUGCUUUGAGGGUACAGCUUUUGCUUGAAACGUGUGGCACUGCUUGAAGGCCAGAUCCAGAAGGAUUGUCUUCUUGGAGUUUCUGCUCUGGCACAGUGAGUUAGGGACCCAGCAUCGCCCCAGCUGGGGCGUAGAUUGAAGCUGCAGCUCGGAUUUCAAUCCCUAGCCCAGCAACUUCCCUAUGCCAAAAAAAGGAUUUUUUUUUUCUUUAAACAGCUGCCCUGUGCUCUGGAAUGCGGGUUGCUUGCAACUUUGUCUUUGUUGAGCAGGAAGUGUGACAGCUGGCGACCAACGCUGACGUUCCAACCAUGUGUCGCCUCGAUGAAGCAGAGCAGGGUGGUAGGGACAUCAUGUCCCAAGUGCAUUUUCAUUGUAGUCAAUGCCCCCCACGUCCCCCCGAAAAAACGUAAAACAAAGGGACAAUGGGGCCUGAGAGCUACUUGUAAAGAUCAUUGGCCUGGGAGUUGGGAGGGUGAGGGGCAGAGCAGGGAAUGAAACUUAAAAAGCAGCAGGGCUUGGGGAAUGUCAGACUUCGCCGAGUUCCUUCUUCUUGGGCUAAAUGGGGGCGGCCAUGGCAUGAUUUCCAAGGGCUCUUGCUGCACUAACGUCCUGCCGGGUGGGUACCUGACUGAAGACGAACGCCCCUUCACGGCUGUAAAUAUUCAAGCUUUAGCACAUGUUGGAAUGCACCGUCCUUCUGUGUGCCUACUUCCAAAUUAACGCUACCGUCUAUUGAGAAUCUACUGCUCAAGCGUGAUACGCCAGAGACGUAUCAUCUGAUCUAAACCUUGUCACAGUUCUCUGGGGGCAACAAGCAUCACAACACAAAAUUGACUUCUGAGGAAGCUCGGAUGUGGACAAGUGGCCCGAUACCAAGGUGCCCUAGCAAGGGGCAGAAGAGAGCUUUAACCUUAGACUGACUCUGGGUCACCAAGCUCCUGACCAGGGCACCACAUGAGGUCGAACAGGAGCUAGUAGGAAAGGCUCUCGGUUUCUUUAUCGCUAUUUUGGAGUCUGGAUUGGAAGGAUGUGACUGAAAAAAAAAGGCCUUCCUAGAAAUCCCCACAUUUUCAGAGAUGUGCCUUUGGUUUGUGCUCUGAGGCAUGGAGAUGGUGUGCCACCAGAUGGCUGCGGCCC
rnacentral:lncRNA from 1 species